GCGGGGUUAUUGCGAAUUCGUGCAUGGGCGCAGCCUGAUGCAGCCAUGCCGCGUGUAUGAAGAAGGCCUUCGGGUUGUAAAGUACUUUCAGCAGUGAGGAAGGGGGUAUCGUUAAUAGCGGUAUCCUUUGACGUUAGCUGCAGAAGAAGCACCGGCUAACUCCGUGCCAGCAGCCGCGGUAAUACGGAGGGUGCGAGCGUUAAUCGGAAUUACUGGGCGUAAAGCGCAUGCAGGUGGUUUGUUAAGUCAGAUGUGAAAGCCCGGGGCUCAACCUCGGAAUUGCAUUUGAAACUGGCAGGCUAGAGUACUGUAGAGGGGGGUAGAAUUUCAGGUGUAGCGGUGAAAUGCGUAGAGAUCUGAAGGAAUACCGGUGGCGAAGGCGGCCCCCUGGACAGAUACUGACACUCAGAUGCGAAAGCGUGGGGAGCAAACAGGAUUAGAUACCCUGGUAGUCCACGCCGUAAACGAUGUCUACUUGGAGGUUGUGGCCUUGAGCCGUGGCUUUCGGAGCUAACGCGUUAAGUAGACCGCCUGGGGAGUACGGUCGCAAGAUUAAAACUCAAAUGAAUUGACGGGGGCCCGCACAAGCGGUGGAGCAUGUGGUUUAAUUCGAUGCAACGCGAAGAACCUUACCUACUCUUGACAUCCAGAGAACUUAGCAGAGAUGCUUUGGUGCCUUCGGGAACUCUGAGACAGGUGCUGCAUGGCUGUCGUCAGCUCGUGUUGUGAAAUGUUGGGUUAAGUCCCGCAACGAGCGCAACCCUUAUCCUUGUUUGCCAGCGAGUAAUGUCGGGAACUCCAGGGAGACUGCCGGUGAUAAACCGGAGGAAGGUGGGGACGACGUCAGUCAUCAUGGCCCUUACGAGUAGGGCUACACACGUGCUACAAUGGCGCAUACAGAGGGCGGCCAACUUGCGAAGUGAGCGAAUCCCAAAAGUGCGUCGUAGUCCGGAUUGGAGUCUGCAACUCGACUCCAUGAAGUCGGAAUCGCUAGUAAUCGUGAAUCAGAUGUCACGGUGAAUACGUUCCCGGGCUUGUACACACCGCCGUCACACCAUGGAGUGGGCUGCAAAGAAGCAGUAGUUACUCGGAGGACGCUUGCCACUUUGUGUCAUGACUGGGGUGAGUCUAAACACGGAUACCGGAA
rnacentral:rRNA from 1 species